rnacentral:rRNA from 1 species
UACGUAGGGUGCAAGCGUCAAUCGGAAUUACUGGGCGUAAAGCGUGCGCAGGUGGCCAUGCAAGACAGAUGUGAAAUCCCCGGGCUCAACCUGGGAACUGCAUUUGUGACUGCAUGGCUAGAGUACGGCAGAGGGGGAUGGAAUUCCGCGUGUAGCAGUGAAAUGCGUAGAUAUGCGGAGGAACACCGACGGCGAAGGCAAUCCCCUGGGCCUGUACUGACGCUCAUGCACGAAAGCGUGGGGAUCAAACAGG